UGGUGGAGAAGUUACAACAGGAGGUGGGGAUGAAACUGUGGGGGGUGGUGAAGCAGUUGGUGGUGGCUGAGCCGGUGGUGUUUGGUUGUUAACUGGUGGAGGAGAACCAGUGGGUGUAGGUGGAGCUUGGGUAGCUGGUGUUGGAGGCGCUUGGGUAGUGGGUGUAGGUGGUGCUUGGUUAGUGGGUGUUGGAGGAGCCUGGUUAGUGGGUGUUGGUGGAGUCUGUGUAGGUGGUGCUUGAUUAGUAGGGGGUGCCUGUGUUGGUGGUGCCUGUGUAGGUGGUGCUUGGGUAGGGGGUGCCUGUGUUGGUGGUGCCUGCGUAGGUGGUGCUUGGUUAGUAGGGGGUGUCUGUGUUGGUGGUGCCUGUGUAGGUGGUGCUUGGGUAGGGGGUGUUGGAGGUGCUUGACCUCCAACCCCAGCGACGAUAAUGCAGAUCAUAAACCCCAACAAAACAGCAUUAUUCCUACCCAUCAUUUUGACAAUGGAGAGGAGGAAAUUAAAGGAAUGUGAAAGAAGAUAUCUGGUGCUGCUUGGGAAAAGAGAGGUUUGGGAAGGGAAUAUAUAAGAGAUUUUCUAAAAGAAGUAUGGUAUAUAUUUGAAGGUUGGAAAAGAAAGAGUAGAAAGGUGGCAAAUCCAAUUUGUAGUAACAGUGUGAGUUGUGACUACCAAAUACUUAUG
rnacentral:lncRNA from 1 species